UUGAGUGCUGUGAGUAGAUACAACCAUUAAUGUCAAACACUGUACUGUCUCUCUAUUUCAUUAUUUUCAGUUGUAUUAAAAAGUUGGGAAAAAAAUGUAAUAUGUGUUACGUAGGCUAUAUCACUGUCGACUGUGAUAGUUUUAACGACAAUGUCAAUAUAUCAUUUUGCUGGAACUGUAGCCUAAUUGUGGAAACAAAUAAUGUGUCAUUAAUUGUAUGUGGAAACAAAUUAUUUUGUGAAAACUGGAUGAUUUGCGAGUGCUAAUCAAUCAACCAUCACUAACGUUAGCUAUCAUAGUUAAGUUACCUGGAAAGGUAAUUAUCCACACAUUCACCCAGCAAACAGGCACGGCGCUCACGGGUGUAUUCAGCUAACGUCUUCACCAGAGGGUCUGCAAGUAGUUAGCUAAGUAAUGGACGAGCCACCACCAGUCAAGAAUGGAGUGUACGUAACUAUGGUUCUUGGUAACAAUCUCAAUACAACAGCUGGCAAUUUCUUUUACUUACUAGGUGUUUUGAAUCAUCUAGAUAUAGCUAAAUGUGUUCAGUAUUUUAAGAAUUUGGUUUAUGCUGAUUUACAUAUGAUCAUGGCAGGAAAGUGAUAGACAUGAACAAACAGGCAAGGAGGGAGAGAAAGUGGCCACAAACCAACAGAAGAGAGGCUGUCAUAAUAACACUGGUCAGAAAGGCAGGCAGACAGAGAGAGGCCACAAGCCAACAGAUUCCGUCUCUCACAGUUGAAGUGUACCUGUGAUAAAAAUUACAGACCUCUACAUGCUUUGUAAGUAGGAAAACCUGCAUAAUCGGCAGUGUAUCAAAUACUUGUUCUCCCCACUGUAUAUAGCUUCUUGUUUGCAUGCUAGAGAUUUUACUUGAAUUUGUGGAUGCAGCAACAUACUGUGUUCACAGACAAUGGUUUAUGGAAGUGUUCCUGAGCCCAUGCAGUGAUUUCCAAUACAGAAUGGUUUCUGUUUUUAAUGCAGUGCCCCCUGAGGGCCUGAAGAUCAAAGCCAUCCAAUAUUGGUUUUCGGCCUAGUCCCUUGCGCACGGAGAUUUCUCCGGAUUUUCUGAAUCUUUUAAUAAUAUUAUGUUUGUUAGAUGAUGCGAUCCAUUAACUCUGCAAUUUUACAUUUAGAAAUGUUAUUCUCAAAUUGUUGCACUGUUUGCCUGUACAGUCUUUCACAGACCAUCUGAGAUGGUUUUUAAUACCCAAUCAUGUUACUGACCUUUUGCAAAUUAACUUAAUUAGUUGUGAGAUGUUCCACCAGGUUUUUAUUUUUAGCAUUACGCAAAUUUUCGAGGUCUUUUGUUGCCC
ensembl:lncRNA